rnacentral:rRNA from 1 species
UGAGGAACAUGACCUUCGGCGGGGGAGUAGCCGGCCCAACGGCCGGGUAAUACCGCGUACGACCACAUGGGGACAUCCCUGAGUGGUGAAAGCAGCAAUGCACCGAAAGAGUGCCUCGCGGCCUAUCAGCUAGUUGGUGAGGUAACGGCUCACCAAGGCGACGACGAGUAGCUGGUCUGAGAGGAUGGCCAGCCACAUUGGGACUGAGACACGGCCCAGACCUCGUACGGGGA